rnacentral:lncRNA from 1 species
CUUUUGGUUCUGCUUUCUCAGAGCAAUGUUCUAGCUUCUUGGGCCCCUUACAUCCUGCAGAGAAGCAAAGAUGGCCUGGCUGGAGUUCUGGUCUUACUUCUGUCCCUGAUACCCAGAGAACUUGUUUUUGCCUUCAAGCCUGCCUUGGGGAUUCUUGGAGUGGGACCUGCAGUCUGGUCAUGACCCACAGGAUGGCUCACAGGGCUCCAGGCCCCCACAAGAAAACUAUUGUUCAACGGAGACUCAGGAAGUGGCUUUCAUCGUCUUGACAGUUUCUGAAUGUGGCAAGGGGUGGCUACUCUACUGGGAUAAGUAGUUCUCUAGGCAGUGGCAUCUAGUUCUUUUUUUACAACCCCCUGUGUAGAAGCCAAAUGAAUAAAGCAAAAC